rnacentral:piRNA from 1 species
UGCCAUGACACAACACACCCCGUGUACUUGGU